rnacentral:rRNA from 1 species
UACGUAGGGCGCAAGCGUUUGUCCGGAAUUAUUGGGCGUAAAGAGCUCGUAGGCGGCUUGUCACGUCGGAUGUGAAAGCCCGGGGCUUAACCCCGGGUCUGCAUUCGAUACGGGCUAGCUAGAGUGUGGUAGGGGAGAUCGGAAUUCCUGGUGUAGCGGUGAAAUGCGCAGAUAUCAGGAGGAACACCGGUGGCGAAGGCGGGUCUCUGGGCAACAACUGACGCUGAGGAGCGAAAGCGUGGGGAGCAAACAGG